rnacentral:tRNA from 9 species
UAGCUCAGCUGGUUAGAGCGCACCCCUGAUAAGGGUGAGGUCGGUGGUUCGAGUCCACC